ACGGGAGGCAGCAGUGGGGAAUAUUGGACAAUGGGCGAAAGCCUGAUCCAGCGACGCCGCGUGAACGAUGAAGUAUUUCGGUAUGUAAAGUUCUAUCAGCAGGGAAGAUAAUGACGGUACCUGACUAAGAAGCACCGGCUAAAUACGUGCCAGCAGCCGCGGUAAUACGUAUGGUGCAAGCGUUAUCCGGAUUUACUGGGUGUAAAGGGAGCGUAGGCGGCUUUGCAAGUCUGAUGUGAAAGCCCGGGGCUCAACUCCGGUAUUGCAUUGGAAACUGUAGAGCUAGAGUGUCGGAGGGGUAAGUGGAAUUCCUAGUGUAGCGGUGAAAUGCGUAGAUAUUAGGAGGAACACCAGUGGCGAAGGCGGCUUACUGGACUGUAACUGACGUUGAGGCUCGAAAGCGUGGGGAGCAAACAGGAUUAGAUACCCUGGUA
rnacentral:rRNA from 1 species